AAUGGGGGAGCAGUUAGCCCAAAGGAGCAAAGGUCCUAAAGUGCAGGUGGAGGGGCCCAGAGCUGAUGGUUAACGGGGCUUUGGGGGACGCCUCUGGAUGCCAAAUGUCUGUUCCCUGAUGCUGCAGAGCCUGAUGUCGAGGGUAUCGGGGCAGGAGGCAGCAUCUCUGCAUGGUGCAGAAGAGCCCGGGUGUAAAUGGGAUCAGCCUUGCAUGAACCUGCCGGAGAGGUGGGGGACCAGCGGCGGCUCCCAAGGUCCCUCCGUCGCCGUGAUGGAGCCGGUGUGCACCGGAGAUGGCCCGUCCGGGGUGAUGGGCACCGACAGAGCCUGGGGCAGCCCUGGGAGACCGCUCUGUUCCAGGGGACCAUGAGCCGAUGGAGAAAUGGGGCCGGCACCUCUCACCAAGCCCUGCUGAGGGGCUGGAUGUCCCUUGGCAAGGGCUGUGCAGGGCCGGAGGUGGCUGGGAGGAGGAGGAGGAGCAGGCUGACCCAGAGCAAGUCAGGCUGUGUCAGGCCACAUACUGGUCUCCCUGUACUGGGAGGAGAGGAGCCAGCCACUAAAAUCACCAUGACAAUAAAGCUGAGUAUUUCAUCUAUAAUUCAGAGGAGCUGGAAAGUGGUUUUAUGAAAAAAAAAAA